rnacentral:rRNA from 1 species
UACGUAGGGGGCUAGCGUUGUCCGGAUUUAUUGGGCGUAAAGAGCGUGUAGGCGGCCAGGUAGGUCUGCUGUGAAAACUCGAGGCUCAACCUCGAGACGUCGGCGGAAACCAUCUGGCUAGAGUCCGGAAGAGGAGAGUGGAAUUCCUGGUGUAGCGGUGAAAUGCGCAGAUAUCAGGAAGAACACCCGCGGCGAAGGCGGCUCUCUGGGACGGUACUGACGCUGAGACGCGAAAGCGUGGGGAGCGAUCCGG